AGAUAUUAAAAUAGGUAAGACGAAGUAUUGUGUUCAAGUUCAGCAUUUUGAUAUCUUUUUAAUCGAUUUGAUAUUAUAGUUUUUAGCGAAAAAAUCUCAAUCUUGUGUGGUUCUUUCAAAGGCUAUCUUUCCUUAACACGAAUGUUUUCUCUAAUCGUAUAAUGGCCGAAUUUUUGUUAUAUUUCGAUAUUUUGUAUACAGAUUGGAUCAUUUUCUAUCUAAAGUUUUCGACUACAAUUAUUGCUAAUUGAUUAUGUCAAACUUUAUUCUUUCUAAUGAGCACCUUAAAUUUCGUUUGUCAUACCUUUUGUAACUCAGAGUCUUUGUAAUCCCUUAGCUAUAAAUACUUCUGAUGUUAAGACCGAAAGGAGGGAGGAGCUUUUCACCAUUGUUAUGCUCCACUAAUAUAACAUUUAAUUGAGAUACAUCAUAUUCAAUGUCUUGUUGUUAUUGCUUUGCCCUUUGUGAGCAAAGGCGAAGCUCGAUUUCUUUUAUUACGCUCGAUACAACUACUGCUCAGAAUUCUUAGAAGUUUUUGCGAUCUUAGAAUGUUGAGAUUCGGGUAUUAAUUUCUUGUUGCUAUGCGCAAUCCCUGAGUAUUCUAGAGCUUGUUUGGCCUAUUUAUUGUUGUCAAGGCUCUGCUCGUGACUCGUUAUUCCAAUUUGUGGUUUUCUUAUUUGGAACUUUGCGAACCAGUUAGUUUCUUGUCGAUGUAAAUUUUAAUUCCUUCUAUGUGGUAGUUCUGUGUAAGGUUGUUAUUCACUUAAUUUAUGUUUGAGUUGUUCAAAUGCGGAAGACAUUUUCUAGGAAGCGCGCAGGUCAGUUCUUCUUCUUCUUCCUUUCUGCUCGCCUUUUUUUUCUUGAGUCCGUGAUUCUUUCCUACACUAGAAAAC
rnacentral:lncRNA from 1 species